rnacentral:rRNA from 1 species
GGAGAAAAGCAGGGGAUCGCAAGACCUUGCGCUUUUGGAGCGGCCGAUGCCUGAUUAGCUUGUUGGUAAGGUAAAAGCUUACCAAGGCUUCGAUCAGUAGCUGGUCUGAGAGGACGGCCAGCCACACUGGGACUGAGACACGGCCCAGACUCCUACGGGAGGCAGCAGUGGGGAAUUUUGGACAAUGGGGGCAACCCUGAUCCAGCCAUGCCGCGUGAGUGAAGAAGGCCUUCGGGUUGUAAAGCUCUUUCAGCCGGGACGAAACGGUUACGGUUAAUACCUGUGACUAAUGACGGUACCGGAAGAAGAAGCACCGGCUAACUACGUGCCAGCAGCCGCGGUAAUACGUAGGGUGCGAGCGUUAAUCGGAAUUACUGGGCGUAAAGCGUGCGCAGGUGGUUUUGUAAGUCAGAUGUGAAAUCCCCGGGCUCAACCUGGGAACUGCGUUUGAAACUACAAAGCUAG